GGGGCUUCGGGAUGGAGCGGUGCUGGGAGCACAGGGGGGCCGCCUCACCAGCGCUGGCCUGUUUGGCCCACUCCGCAGCCGGGCACUACUGACAGCGUGGGCAGGAAGGCAUCCCUCGACUCCAUAUCACGCCCAACCCACGUCCAUUGUAGGUGGUAAGAGACUUCGGGGACUGAGGCUUGUACCCUUAUCUGGGACCUAAAGUCUGUCCUCUAAUUGGGCUAGUUCACUCUCGGGGAAGACGCACACCUUCCACAUCCACUCUCUACCUCUCAUUUUAAGUCCUUUGUGCCCGAACAUUUCUCUCCACGUGACUGUAAAGGUGAGACACCUGUUGCCCAUCUCUUUAACUCCGUAGUUAAUGGCUGUUUUGACUGGUCUCCCCUGCUGGCGGAAACUUGGGAAUUUGGGAUAUCCUAGGUAUAAGGGAGACUGAGAGAAACAUUCUGGACAUAACCCCGAUGUUGAGAACUCCUUAACUGCCUCCCCAUGUCUGCUAAAGGCGUACCUUUGCCUCUCGCAUCGCGAGUCAUAGGCCACCUUCUGCUUGUUAAAGAGAUUUCAUUGCAUCUGCAACCCAGGGUUAGGCCCUGACCUGGACAGUAGACAGGUUGAUUCUUUAGGUUUAAGCUAAUCCAGUGGGAGCUGCCAUGCUCGAGGUUGGUAUCCUGUUGGGUGUAAUUCUUGGAGUAAGUGGUCCAAAGUAAGAUGAGUGACUAUGAGCCAUGAGGUUUUUCUAGUCUUCUCAGUUGUGCAUCAGACCGUCAUAAGCCUUUACAUAAGCAGGCUGGCACUGGCACAUAAAAUGCUUCUGUGUAAAUUAUACAGAGACACUCCAUCCUUAAGACUGUAUAUUCACCUGCUGAUGAGAAGUAAGAGGAUGAGGUGUAGAUGGGCACCAUCCCCAGGAGAAGCAGCUCUGUCUGCAGGCAGGUUUAUAACUCAAAACCAAACAAGGGGUCUGCAUAUCCUUUGUGUAGGAGGCUUCUAAAGAUCCUCUCUUCUUUCAGUGCUCUGCUUAAAAAAAAAAAAUAUCUGCAAGUUCUCCAAGUGAUGCCUGGGGUCACCAGUCAAAUAGUCCCCCGUGUGGUCUCCCUAGGCAUUGCUGUGUCCUAGUUUAGAUCAUGGAGCCACACUUCCUGGGCCUGAAUCCUGGCGGCUCCCCACAGCUGUGGCGUUUUAGGCAGGUUACUUAAUGCCUCAGGUUCUUUAUCUGUAAAAUGAAGUUAAGGAAUAAAUGAAAAUGUACUUAAAACACUUAGCACAGGGCCUGGUACAGAGUAAAAGCUCAAGAAUGCCCAGUGGGACCGGCCUGAGUGGGUUUUAGCCUUCACAGAAUGGGGGUGGGGGUGGGGAGACGACUAUUUCAUGCUUUACCUGAUCCCGGGAAGUGACGACUCCGCCCCUGAUUUACUCAUCCCUCAGACUGAGCAAUAACCACUUGGCCUGCUGAGACUGAACUUCAUGCACUCGUCACUGUGAGGCCAAUAAGGGACUGGUGUUCAAUAGAAGAUAACUGGUAUGGAUUCGCAUUUUACUUCUGCCCAAGGUCACAUGGCUGGCAAGAUGGCCAAAUAGAGGUUGUUUCAGCUGUUAAAUGGGUGUGCGCCCUGCUGAGGGUUAAGUGAAGCCCUGUGCAGGAAAGCUCUGAGGACCCCCAGGCUGUGGUGGCCCGGCUGCCAGCAGUAACCAUGACCCUGGCUGCUGUGAGGGGUCUGCCGGUCAUGCUGCCCAGGGCUGGUCGUGGCUGCAGUGACACUUUCUCCUGCAGGUGAACGUGGGCUUCUGCGUCUUAGGCAUUAUUGUGAUGGCUACCACCAAUUCUCUGAUGUGGACGUUCUUUAGCCGGGGCCUCAGUUUCUCCAUGUCUUCAGCCAUUGCAUCUGUCACAGUGACUUUUUCAAAUAUCCUCAGCUCGCUGCCUGACACAGGCAGAAUUGGCCAGCCACUUAUCGGCACUUACAUCUUCUAAAAUGCCCCGCACAUCCCUUUGACAGACACCAAGUCCUCUGUGGAAAGCCUGGGCGUCUCCCUGCUGUAGACCAUUGACCAAGGGUGAGUCCACUUAAGCUGUUCUUACAAACAGUGCAGAAAAUCUCUCCAGGACAUAGAUCUUUGCUCAUGUGUGCAGGUAUUUCUGAGAUGUGAAUUCACAGUAGGGGGUUAUAGGGUCAAAAUAUAGAUACAUUUUGCUAAUGCCAAAUUGCUUUGGGAAGAGAUUGCAUUGAUUUAUUCUCCACCGACAGAUCUUUUUGAUUUUUGCCGAUAUAAAUGGUUGAAUAAUUUCACUGUUGUUUUAAUUUGCAUUUCUAUUUGUGAGGCUGAAUAUUUUUAUGUUAAUUAACUAUCUCCUGUGAAUUGCUUGUUCAUAUCCUUUACCUAUUUUGAGUCAUUAAUUUGUUCGUAUUGUGUGUAGUCUUUAUACAGAAAAGUGUUAUUGCUGCAAAUCAUUUCAGUCUUUUUUUAACCUCUAAAUGCCUUUCACCACUAGAACUUUGCCAUUUUAAUGUAGCCAAAUUUGUUAAUUCCUUCCUUUAGGGAUACUGGGUUUCAUGUCACCCCAAGAAUAUGUUUUCUAUGCUUUUUCUAAAACUUUUGGCUUUAUACUAUUAGGCACCUGGAAUUUAAUUUUUUAGCGUGUGGAGUGAUGUAGAUAGAGCUCCAACUUUCUCAAAUAAUCUAUCAUUUCCUAGUGUUUUGAAAUGCUGCUUUCAUACAUCUGGGUCUCUGGACUCUUUAAUUUGCUUAUUUAUCUUCUCCUACUGCAAUGUCAUACCAUCUAAAGUAUUGUAGUUCUAUAGUACAUAUUGAUACGUAGUAGGCAAAUGCUCCUCACCACUGUUUUUCUUGUCCAUAGAACUUUUAAAAGCUGUUGGGAUUGAGAUUGGCACUGCAUUGAAUUUACCAAGUUAUCGGGGGGAGAAUCAUGCCAAGUGACUACACUGAGUCUUCCCAUCUAGGCAUGUGGGAUACUGUUCCAUUUAUUCAGGUCUUCUUUGUUACAUUUAGAAAAGUUUUAUUGUUCAUACACAAUUUGCACAUUCCUAGUUGGAUUACUUGCAAGAUGUAUUUAUAGCUUUUGUGAAUGAAAUAUUUUUCAUUAUAUUUUGUACUUGCUUGCUGGACUAUAUGGAAACUAUUGAUUUUGAUACGCUGAUAGAUCUAGCAAAGGACUUGACCAAACUCUAAUGCUUUGUUCCUGAACGAAGGUUUCUGACGGUCUGUUUCUUAUAGGGUGUCUGAAUAUUCCAAGGAAAAACCAGUAAACUACUGUUUUCCUUAGACCUUAAGAUACAGACAAAUUAACUGGGGGAAUAUUGUUAAAAUGUGUAUUCUGAUUCAGCAGGUGGGGUUGGAGGCUCAGAAUCUGUGUCUCUAACAGGGCUCCCAGGUGAUGCCAGUGUUGCCAGUAGUGUGGCCCCCAGAGCACAUUUUAGUAGUGAGAGGCUAGAUGAUACGUUUUCUGUGAUCCAUCAUAAAACAGAUGUUCCUCUUGGAUUUCAUAUGAAACAACUGUUGCUAAUACGCAUGGAGCAAGAACAUCUGUAAACGCGGGCAGGAUUCCUAGGAGGGUUUGUGAAAUGUCAGAGCUGGAAGAGCCCCUGGAAGCUGGUUUAACCACCUUGCUUUACAUCGGAGAAUACUGAGGCCCAAAGGGGCGGUGGAGUCAUCUAAAGCAUCAGAGCUGUGUCCCAGAUCAGGUAAGUGCCAUACUGGGGCCAGUUUAUUCUAACUAGCCAGGGGACUGGCCUUUAGCUAGCCUCAGAAACUGAACCUCAGUUUCCUCAUCUAUAAAAUGGGGAUAAUAACACCUGUUCACCGCAUGGCACAUCCGUGAAAGUCAAAUGGGCCAAACAGCAAGAGGAAAAUGGACAGAGAAUGGCCUGAGUGCCUAAGAGGACCCAGGUCUGUCUGGCUCCAGAGGUCAUGCUUGUUUCUGGCCCUUUGUCUUCCCCCAGGGUGAUGGUGAGUGAAGAGGAAGCCUAUAGACCCAGGGGGCACAGACUCAAACUGGCUAGACCAGUUGGCGGUAACAAUGGGGACAGUGGGGUGUUGUGGACAAACAGGAACAGGAAGGACCGUGGUAAACAGGAGUGGGUGCUGCCACUCAGCUCAUCUAACUGAGACUGUGUAGGAACGUGGGCCCUGCACUUCCAGAUCUUCUGACCUUUCAGAAUAAGCUAGAGGAGUGUGUGUGUUCUUCUACAAUGUAAAGCUCCUGGGUCUUAAAAUGCGGCAAUUAAUUCAAGUUGUAAAAAUCACUCUGUGGAUCAGACACAGCAAGUCAGAGGUUAAACUUGUCCUUAGCUUGUCAGUUUAUAAACAGUGCUGCCAACAGCUGAGAUGCUACUGGCACCCCUGCCCCGCCCUGGUGCCCUGUUCCAACCCUGACAGGCUGCAUCUGACUCUCCAGCAUGGGUUUAAUCAUCAGUAUUCAUCAAAAGCUCCCUAGGUGCUUCUCACAGCACCCAGCAUGGAUGCCUACGUGCUGUGUCCAGCAAUGGCCAGGACCCUUCAAAGAGGCUGAGCUGAGGUUGGGACUCUUGGUUUCUCACACAACUUACUUCCCCUCUCCUGCAACAUCCUCAGCUGAAUGCAUGUCUGUGUGUCUGAAUCUUCCACGACGGUGAAGCCAGGUGAGACCAUUAGAUUCCAAAUAAAAGGCAUCCCAACAAUAGCUGGACUUGAGAAAUUUAUCAAGUUUAGUUCCAAUCAGGUGAAAGAGGUUCAUGCUGAGAAGACUGUUCUCAUCACAACUAGCCUUUGCCUGAUGCCUUGGAAAGAGGCAGCAGCUCUGACUGGCUCUAAGCCUUGGUUGAGCGUUUCAGCAUUUCCUGCUUUGGGAUUAGCUUUCAGAUAAUUAGAUUUUAUUACUCAUUAGAUUUCAGAUGAUUAGAUUUGAUUACUCAUAGGAGGGCAGAUUCAAGAGCCAGCUGGGUGAAAGCGUUCAAAGGCCAACACAAAUCACAGGCAGCAGGACCCACUAGGCCAGGUCGUGUGGAAUCACAGGGUAGCCUGUUGACAGCUAGAAACCCCCAGCCUGGGCCACAGAACCUCACCUCCCUGCCUUGAGUCAUGGCCUCGAAGAGCAGGGCCACCACUAUCUGCAGUCAGAACCAAAGGCGUCCACAGCCACAGAGUCCCUCCCUGGAGAAACAGGCUAUCAGAAGCUGCUGCCCACUUGCCCCGUGAGGAGGGACCACCUCUUCAGCCCCAGAGUACAUCAGCCCUGGAAGCACUAGCCAAGUAGAGUCUUCUGCCAGAACUGGUCUGGGCCUGCUGGAAAUAUAUUCUCUCCUCGCUCCUCCUCCUGCCUGAAAUCCCACCCCUGUUGCUUCCCUGAGGGGGGCCUACCUGAGGAAGAGCAGGUAGACGGGGCCUUUCCCUCGGAUCUCUGCACACACCGGGCCUGGGCCUGGGCCUGCCUGCCAAACCAGAAGCAGGACUGAGGGCCAAGUGCUGUCUGUUCACCUUUGACUUUCGACAACUUCAGGCAACUUGAAACUAUGGCACGUGAAACCCAACUUCACAGCCCCUACGCUUCCCCAUGGUUGGUGAGCCUUCGAGGCACCUGUAGUGUAGUAGGCAUGUCCAGUCUUCCACGUGGAAGGAGCCCCAGCCCCUUGGUGGUGGCGGAUGACCCAGUGGUCCCUCCUACUUGAUGACUGAUGGUGUUGGCAGCGUUGGGAGUGAUCGGAGAGCACCCCUACCCCUCAUACCAGGCAGGCCCAUCCCAGGCCCUUACCCUGCUGAGCACUCCCAGCUCACACGUGGUGAGGACAGCCAGCCCUGUGCUCCCCGGACAUGCUGCUGGACCCCAGGUCCCCUUUUCAGGAAUGCCUCUCCUUGGGAACCAUCUUGGAUGUGGCCCUAGAUGUGGUCUGUGAAUUUGCUGAUCCUGUUGCUUCAGUUCCUCUCUCAUGGCCAAGGAGGUUCCCAAGGCCAGCCCUGCUCUGUUCUUCCAUCACAACCACACAGCCUUAGUUUUCAAAAGCCAGGAGCCUGGGCCCCAACCUUCUCAAGAGAAGACAGACAUCCCAAGAAAGGACACAGGCCAGUUCUUUUCUGCCCCCAGGCUGCCCUAUUCAGAGCCUCCUUUGCUGGGUGAGGGUGCACAGGCUGUGAAGGGCGCCCAGCCUCGGAGAAUGGUUCCUGACAAUCCCUCAUGGGCAGAUGAGCUCAGAGCAAGUUUCUCAUCUUCCUCUGUCACCCCUAGUCCACCCCCAUCCCCGAACUGGUCCAACGUGGGGAGAGGGAGGAGGGGUCAGAGGACGGCAAAGCCAAGGGGGUGGUGUGAAGGGAGCAGUGGGUGCAGGGGAGCGAGUGGUGCGCAGGAGCCCUGUGGCGAUGAUGCCGGCACGUAGGAUGAUGCGGCUGCCUGGUGCCUGGCCCUCUCCCCACAGUAUCAUUCAUCUAUCACCUCCACAGAGUCCUCGUCCUUCCUCUGCUCUGAGUGUUCCUCUGUUGUUUCUGUGUUCUCAGUGUCUGACAGCGAUGCCACCUGUCGCACCCAGCCACUGUCACUGAGAGGCUUUGGAUGACGCAGUCCGGAGAAGGGGUUGAACCAGUUCAGGGAAAAGUCCCCACCAAAGGUCUCUUUGACUGACUUCCAGCUGCUUGUGCGUUCCCUGGGCUGGUGCUUUCGUUUGAGGCGCUCAAUGCCCUGGAGGGACAAUGGGAUAAAGAGGGUCAGCGUGGGACAGCCGUGCGCCAUCUUACACACCCCAGGAGCAAGGGUGCCCGGCCAGCUGCUGCGCAGUGACCAGGCUGCCCAGUGGCUAAGGGCCAAGGAGUAACAUCUCAGGCCUCUGCAGGCAUGAGCUGGGCCAUCUGUCCGGAGACCACCCAGAAAGACAACCCCUCCCCAAGUAUCCUGGGCCACUCCCCCUACAGCAGGCGCAGCAAACCCAGCACGAAGGAGGAUGAUGCGGUUAAGGGGGACAGCAGGAGACACACGAAGCGUGAGGAGAAACUGAGAUACACGUACAGACUGAGAUCUGGCCACACCUGGGCCAGUUCCUCUCCACCACUCUUUCUUCCCACACCAUCUCAGAGGUUUAAGUUUCUUGGCUUUUGGAAAAAUGGUAGGUUAAAGAACCUGAUCUCAAAGUAUCUCCUCAUAAGAUACUUCCUAAUUACCGAGGGUAAAACAGUACCUUUACAGUAAGGAAACUUCGCAGAUAUAACUUUAACCAAUUGAAGUUAACAUCACCAAUAAUGAAAUGUAUCAACAUCACGUGCCCUCCGAUACGGUGCCCCAAGAAGGACAGAACAUCACUUCACUGGUUUUCCUGCCCAAAAGGCAUAAUCUCAAUCUAAUUAUGUGAAAACAUCAGACAAAUGCAGAUGUCAGGAUAUUCCACAGAAUAUCUUCAACAGGAUAAUAAUCUUCAACAGGAUCAAAGUCUGAUGAAAUUGUUUUGGAACCAGACAGAAGUGGUGGUUGUACAAUAUUAUGAACGUACUAAAUGCCACUGAACCACACACUUUAAAAUGGUUGCUUUUAUGUGAUGUGAAUUUAACCUCAACUAGAAAGAGGAUCAGGUUCAUGAAAGACAGAGAAAGACUGAGGAGGAACUAAAGACACAGGACAAAGGAUGCAAUGUGGCAUCCUGGAACAGAGAACGAUACUAGUGGGACAACUGGAGAACUCUGAAUAAAGUAUAUAGAUUGGUUAAUGGUAUUGUAUCAGUAAAUUUCCAGGUUUUUAUAUUUGUGUUAUGGUUUUAUAAAAUGUUUACAUUUGGAAAGACUGAUUGAAAGGCAUAUGGGAGCUCUUUGUACUAUUUUUACUAAUUUUUUUUUUUUGGUUAAGUCUGAAAUUAUUUCUCAAUAAAAAGCUAAGAAAAAUCUGAGACACGAUUUAUGCAAUACAGUCUUGAACACGGAUUAAUAAUGAGAAGUUGGAAACAAUCAAAAUGUCCAAUAAUGAUGGCUAAGUAAAUUAUUCUAUAAAGCACAACACUAUGCAGUUAUUGAAAGUGGCAUCAACAACAAGGGCCUAAUUUUCAAAAUAUACAAACAGCUCAUACAACUCAACAACAAAAAACAAAUAACCCAAUCCAAAAAUUGGCAGAAGGCCUAAACAGACAUUCCUCCAAAGAAGACAUAUAGAUGGCCAGUAGGCACAUGAAAAGAUGCUCAUCAUCGCUAAUUAUUAGAAAAAUGAAAAUAAAAACUGCAGUGAGGUACCACUUCACCCUGGUCAGAAUGGCCAUCAUCAAAAAGUCUACAAAUAAUAAAUGCUGGAGAGAGUGUGGAGAAAAGGGAAUCCUCUUAACACUGCUGGUGGGAAUGUAAAUUGGUAUGGAAAACAUACCAAUGGCUGCUAUGGAAAACAGUAUGCAGGUUCCUCAAAGAACUAAAAAUGGAGUUGCCAUAUGAUCCAGCAAUCCCACUCCUGGGCAUAUACCCAGACAAAAUUAUAAUUUGAAAAGAUACAGGCACCCCUAUAUUCAAAGAAGCACUAUUUACAAUAGCCAAGACAUGGAAACAACCUAAAUGUCCAUCGACAGAUGAAUGGAUAAAGAAGAUGUGGUGGGGAGAUAUACACACACACACAAACACACAAUGGAAUACUACUCAGCCAUAUAAAAGAAUCAAAUAAUGCCAUUUGCAGCUACAUGGAUGGACCUAGACAAAUACCAUAUAGUAUCACUAAAUGUGGAGACUAAACUAUAACACACAUGAACAUAUCUAAGAAACAGAAACAGACUCACAGACACAGAGAAUAGACUUGUGGUUGACAAGCGGGAGGGGAGGUGGGAGAGGGAAGGAUUGGGAGUUUGGGAUUAGUAGAUGCAAACUAUUAUACACAGAAUGGAUAAACAACAAAGUCCUAUUGUAUAGCACAGGGAACUAUAUUCAAUAUCCUGUGAUAAACCACAAUGGAAAAGAAUGUGAAAAAGAAUAUAUAUAUAUACAUGUAUAACUGAAUCACUUUGCUGAACAGCAUAAAUUAACACAUCAUUGUAAGUCAACUAUA